UAAUGACUCUCGGCAACGGAUAUCUCGGCUCUCGCAUCGAUGAAGAACGUAGCGAAAUGCGAUACUUGGUGUGAAUUGCAGAAUCCCGUGAACCAUCGAGUCUUUGAACGCAAGUUGCGCCCGAAGCCUUUUGGCUGAGGGCACGUCUGCCUGGGCGUCACGC
rnacentral:rRNA from 1 species